rnacentral:rRNA from 1 species
CCCAGAAGCGGGGGAUAACACCUGGAAACAGAUGCUAAUACCGCAUAACAACUUGGACCGCAUGGUCCGAGCUUGAAAGAUGGCUUCGGCUAUCACUUUUGGAUGGUCCCGCGGCGUAUUAGCUAGAUGGUGGGGUAACGGCUCACCAUGGCAAUGAUACGUAGCCGACCUGAGAGGGUAAUCGGCCACAUUGGGACUGAGACACGGCCCAAACUCCUACGGGAGGCAGCAGUAGGGAAUCUUCCACAAUGGACGAAAGUCUGAUGGAGCAACGCCGCGUGAGUGAAGAAGGGUUUCGGCUCGUAAAACUCUGUUGUUAAAGAAGAACAUAUCUGAGAGUAACUGUUCAGGUAUUGACGGUAUUUAACCAGAAAGCCACGGCUAACUACGUGCCAGCAGCCGCGGUAAUACGUAGGUGGCAAGGCGUUUGUCCGGAUUUAUUGGGCGUAAAGCGAGCGCAGGCGGUUUUUUAAGUCUGAUGUGAAAGCCUUCGGCUCACCGAAGAAGUGCAUCC